AUUCUCCCUUUUUCUUCUCGCUGCUCCCCUUUUCUUCUCGUUGCUUUGCUACUCGCCCACACUCAAAAUUCUCCCUCGAACUCUAUAUCUAGUUUUGGACGGCUUUUGCUGAUGGGGCUGGCGGUGGUAGUGGUUUGUUCAAGGAUUUUGGACGGCUUUUGCUGAUGGGGCUGGCGGUGGUGGUGGCUUUCGUUUCCCAAAAAUUCAUCCAAACUCAAAAUCGCAAUAAGACGCACAGAACCCAAAAUUUCAAAACCUAAUUUUGUUACUCACAAACUACUCAAAAGACUCGAGCAAACUACGACCAGUCGACCAUCGCUCGAUUGAUCUAUAGCAAACCCCAAACUGCGCACCACCACCAGUCUCAAGGUUGUACGGCCUCCGCACGCGACGGUCCACCACUCUGAAUUUCGAGUUAUUUGUUGGUUUUGGAUUGCACAAACCGGAAGACAGAGAUCCUCACCGGACUCUUAGUUCCGUAUAUUUUCUUCAGUCUUCUUGGGUGGUGUUUGACCUUCUGAGGGGAUAGAUUGGAAUGUGGAUUGCUUUUGCGACUGUCAUAUUGCACGUUUUCUUUCCAAAAAACUAUCCUGUCCCUCUGUCGUCUUGAGAUGCCGCUCCACAGUCGUAUCUCCAAUUCCCUUCUCUCUGCCCCCAUAAACACUGAUGUGAAGAUUAUGAUGUUAGCAAUAAAAAUCUUUUGCUGUUUCUUGAUCAGGCAAAGAAUAUGUCUCAUUAUGUAAUAUGUGAACUUGGAUUUUAGUUCUGAAGCUGACAUGAUCAGAAAAUUUCGUGCUGGUUUAGCAUUACAACCUAUUGCAACAUCAUUAUUCGCGAACUAACCUUUCAAGGAAGGAAAGCCCAAUGGUUAUAUCAGUAUGAGAAGGUUCUAUCUAUUUUCCUCAGAGACCAAAGUUGAUGAUGUUGGUUUUCAAAACUCCAAGGGAGGGGCCCUUUACCAAAGAGGAGUUGGAUGAAGUUCGAGACAAGUGGGCUACUUACUUCAACGAUUGUGAACUACCCUCAGUGUAAUAAAUAGAGCAGGCUUGUAGUUAUCCGUGACUCCUACAUUUUUUGUUAUUUAUCGAUUUAAUUAAUUACAUUUGAAUUAAUUCGGUAAUAUUAUUGGAAAUUUGAAAUUUAUAUCAUUUUGAGGAA